rnacentral:rRNA from 1 species
UGCUCGAGUGGCGAACGGGUGAGUAACACGUGAGUAACCUGCCCUUGACUUUGGGAUAACUUCAGGAAACUGGGGCUAAUACCGGAUAGGAGCUCCUGCUGCAUGGUGGGGGUUGGAGAGUUUCGGCGGUUGGGGAUGGACUCGCGGCUUAUCAGCUUGUUGGUGGGGUAGUGGCUUACCAAGGCUUUGACGGGUAGCCGGCCUGAGAGGGUGACCGGCCACAUUGGGACUGAGAUACGGCCCAG